rnacentral:rRNA from 1 species
AUUGAACGCUGGCGGCAGGCCUAACACAUGCAAGUCGAGCGGAUGAAGGGAGCUUGCUCCUGGAUUCAGCGGCGGACGGGUGAGUAAUGCCUAGGAAUCUGCCUGGUAGUGGGGGAUAACGUCCGGAAACGGGCGCUAAUACCGCAUACGUCCUGAGGGAGAAAGUGGGGGAUCUUCGGACCUCACGCUAUCGGAUGAGCCGAGGUCGGAUUAGCUAGUUGGUGGGGUAAAGGCCUACCAAGGCGACGAUCCGUAACUGGUCUGAGAGGAUGAUCAGUCACACUGGAACUGAGACACGUUCCAGACUCCUACGGGAGGCAGCAGUGGGGAAUAUUGGACAAUGGGCGAAAGCCUGAUCCAGCCAUGCCGCGUGUGUGAAGAAGGUCUUCGGAUUGUAAAGCACUUUAAGUUGGGAGGAAGGGCAGUAAGUUAAUACCUUGCUGUUUUGACGUUACCAACAGAAUAAGCACCGGCUAACUUCGUG